GACGAACGCUGGCGGCGUGCUUAACACAUGCAAGUCGAACGAAGUGGCGAACGGGUGAGUAACGCGUCAUCAACCUUCCCUUCAGAGGGGGACAACAGUUGGAAACGACUGCUAAUACCGCUUACUGAGGGACUGGAUUGCGUUUGAUUAGCUAGUUGGAGGGGUAACGGCCCACCCAGGCGAUGAUCAGUAGCCGGUCUGGGAGGGUGAACGGCCACACUGGGACUGAGACACGGACCAGACUCCUACGGGAGGCAGCAGUGGGGAAUCUUCCGCAAUGGGCGAAAGUCUGACGGAGCAACGCCGCGUGAGUGAUGAAGGCCUUCGGGUUGUAAAGCUCUGUUAUUCGGGAAGCGGUACCGGAAUAGAAAGCCACGGCUAACUACGUGCCAGCAGCCGCGGUAAUAC
rnacentral:rRNA from 1 species